rnacentral:rRNA from 1 species
ACUCCUACGGGAGGCAGCAGUGGGGAAUAUUGCACAAUGGGGGAAAGCCCAUCGAUGCAGCCAUGCCCGCGUGUGUGAAGAAGGCCUUCGGGUUGUAAAGCACUUUCAGUAGGGAGGAAGGUAGUGUAGUUAACACCUGCAUUAUUUGACGUUACCUACAGAAGAAGCACCGGCUAACUCCGUGCCAGCAGCCGCGGUAAUACGGAGGGUGCAAGCGUUAAUCGGAAUUACUGGGCGUAAAGCGUGCGCAGGCGGUCUGUUAAGCGAGAUGUGAAAGCCCCGGCUCAAGCCUGGGAA